AGCUCUAAUAGCGUAUAUUAAAGUUGUUGCGGUUAAAAAGCUCGUAGUUCAAUCUUGGGUGUGUGUGGUGACGGUCGGCCCACUGGGUCUGUACUGUCCUGCUGCACUCGUUUUAUGCUAGGUGCUCGCCAUGCCCUUAACUGGGUGUGGAGUAUUAGAGUUCUAGCGCUUUUACUUUGAGUAAUUUAGAGUGUUCAAAGCAGGCGAAAUCUUCGGCCACUGAAUACAUUAGCAUGGGAUAAUGGAAUAGGACUUUGUUUCUAUUUCGUUGGUUUCUGGGAGCAGAGUAAUGAUUAAUAGGGACAGUUGGGGGCAUUCGUAUUUAAUUGUCAGAGGUGAAAUUCUUGGAUUUGUUAAAGACGAACUACUGCGAAAGCAUUUGCCAAGGAUGUUUUCAUUA
rnacentral:rRNA from 1 species